AGGUGGAGCAUUAAUAAUUCUGUAGCCCAGAUGAUAACAAAAAGUAAUUCACUGUUGCAAGACUGUGCUCUGAUAGAAAGGAAGCAGAGGCAGCUGAGCUCAGUUAUGAAGAAUAAUAACAUAUUUAUGCUGUUUCUCAUCUUUGUAGAAGGAACAGUUACCCACACACAGUCCUGCCCAGUUAGAAACAUCGGCGGGAACCUCCAGUCUUCCUCUAAGCUCCUCUACAGACAGACAAAUACAGGAACAGGUUGUCUUAACAACCACAGAGUCACGAUCUGAACCCGCUGGCGAUAUAGAAAAGGAUGAAGUGUCACUUCCCACUCCUCCCAUCACAACAGAAGAGCCAGACAAGGACAUCUCUUAAGUCCCAAGAGACUGUGACGAUAGGGUGUUAAGCAUUCAUAAGAAAGCACACACUACAUGGAGCGUGUGAAUAAACUGAACUGUUUUGCUGGUGAGGAGCCCUGAACCUGACCCACGUUUCAUGAGGGAGGACUUCUUUCCACACAGAGACGAUGUCACUCACCCAAACCUAUGGCCAAAGUUCAUAUCAUGUCCAAGGGCUUUUUGUUUUGAGUGGAGCUCUGUUAGAAAUCAGGCACAGCUGUUAAAGUAUCAGAGUUGUUUCCUCGUGUCCGGGUUAUUUUCAUUCUUCACUUUGUUCAUUGUAAACCCCAGUGUAGCCUUGUCUUCAACUCUUACAUUAUUUAUUAAGACAAAUAUUCCUCUGUAACAAAUAUCACAUUAGAUAAAAUAUACAUUUUGUGGAACCUGGUCU